rnacentral:rRNA from 1 species
AACGAACGCUGGCGGCAGGCCUAACACAUGCAAGUCGAACGCGAACGUCUCUUCGGAGAUUAGUAGAGUGGCGGACGGGUGAGUAACACGUGGGAAUAUGCCUUUCGGUAGGGAACAACGCCUGGAAACGGGUGCUAAUACCCUAUACGCCCUACGGGGGAAAGAUUUAUCGCCGAAAGAUUAGCCCGCGCUGGAUUAGCUAGAUGGUGAGGUAAGAGCUCACCAUGGCGACGAUCCAUAGCUGGUUUGAGAGGAUGAUCAGCCACACUGGGACUGAGACACGGCCCAGACUCCUACGGGAGGCAGCAGUGGGGAAUAUUGGACAAUGGGGGCAACCCUGAUCCAGCCAUGCCGCGUGAGUGAUGAAGGCCCUAGGGUUGUAAAACUCUUUCAGCAGGGAAGAUAAUGACUGUACCUGCAGAAGAAGCUCCGGCUAACUCCG